rnacentral:siRNA from 1 species
UGGCGGACUGGUCAACUGA